UUCUAGCUCUUUGGCUAGGAUUCCCCUCCACAACCGGGAGCGACCUCCCAAUAGAUGGUCCAGUUAAACAGAAGCCAGGGGUUUGUCCAAUCGAUCGCUGUAGAUGCACUGGUCCUCAGCCUAAUGAGUGCUGGAGAGAUUAUGGUUGUGAAAAAAAGAAGAAAUGUUGUUAUUCUUGUUGUGCAAUGCGCUGUGUGGACCCAAAAUAAGAAGCUCCAGGAUUCAGGCUUCUCCAUUGAUGAAAGUGGUUUGGCAACUCCAUGUACAACUUUUUUGCAACAUCCUUCUGAUCCCUUCAUCAGCCUCAGAAGUGUUUCUUGAUCAAGAGAUGAAAACAGCAAGAUAUUACUACACUGUUUUACUCCUGGUUAUUUCGAGAAAUUUUCUUUCUUCAUUUCUUUUUUCUUUCCUUCCUUUUGGUGGGUACAGCUUAUUAUAAUGAUAAUGAAAUAUUAUGGAAAAAUAAGGAAAGAUGAUUCAUCUUAAUGGAAAUUGUUGUUUCUGUAUUAUAAAUAAAAUUAGCACCUCAAAUUUCAGU